GGGGAGGUGGGGAGGGAUAGCCUGGGGAGAAAUGCCAAAUGUGGGUGAAGGGGAGAAGGAAAGAAAAGCACACUGCCAUGUGUGUUCCUACACAACUGUCUUACAUGCUCUGCUCAUGUACCCCAAAACCUAAAAUCCAAUAAAAAAUUAAAAAAAAAAAAAAAGAAUACAGAAGCUUUGUUUCCCACUGGGCUGUCAGUGAGGAAAAGGAGGAAAGACAGAUUAGCUGGGGACGAUGACGGCUCUAAAGCAAAGCCAUUCUGUGAGGCUGAAUGAUGGACACUUCCUUCGAAAGCUGGGGUGUGGCACUUACGCUCCCGAUCACAUAAGUGGACCCCAGGGGGUCUGAGGUUUGUUAGGUCAGCUGUAUUUGUACAUGUAGUAAUUUUUCGUUUCAUUUCAGACCAGCACCUGGUAGACAGCGGAAGCUUGGAAAGGCUCAUCUGGGCUUCCAUUUAACUGACUCCAAGGUCACAGAGAUUUUUGUACUAAGUAGCACAGCAAACUAUUGACUAUGGGGAUUCUGAGAUUGAUAAUUUUGUGGGUAUAUUAUCUUUCUUACUAUUAAAAAUGUCAAUGUUACCUAACAUAUCAAAUGCUUUCUAUGUGUUUUACAUGCAUUAUUUUACCUAAUUCCUUAACAACUGGCCUAGGUAAGUACUCAGUAAAAUUUGUUGCAUUUUAAAAGUCCAAGCUCAGGCUGCUCUCACCUUCUGCUCUGGUCAGAGUCACUCUGCUCUUGGUUAGAAACGUGAAGGGCCAAGGGCCCGAGGGGGUGAAAAGCCGAAGUAAAUACUUAGUGGCAGCUUUGCCGUGAGGUUGUUGGUGCUGGAAGUAUUUGGCAGAGAGUUUCAACCAUCUAAACUUCUGUCAUAUAAGAAGCCACUGUGAUUCUGUUACAGGACCAUCAGUAUGUUAAAAAUGUAGUAGUCUUUCAUUUUGAGGUAUGACCAGAAGUUUUUUGUCUUAUGACCAAGAAAAUGAAGGAUUCUGGACACGAAGGGUGAGGGUGGAGUUAAAAUUUAUUAAGUGAAGGAAGACAGUUUUCUGUAGCAGAGAGGAGGCCGGUAUGGAUUGCUAACUAUGAGCUCAGGUCUCAGGUUUGACGGACAGGGAAGGGAAAGAAUGUGUUGACUGGUCUUGGAGAAGGUGUAAUUCAGCUUGGCCUGGGACCUUGGUUUGGGGUCAAUCGGACACCGAAGUGAAAGUUUGGCCCAGGACCCUGGUCCAGGACUAACCAGGAGUUGAAGUGAAAUCUUGGCCUGGGACCUUGGCCCAGGAGCAAUCAGAUGCUGAUGUGAUGUUUCGUAAAGGCUCAUCUCAUACUUCACAUGUCCUCAGAAUGAAAGGAAAGUACCCACCAGAGUCUGUGUACAUGACCACAAAAGGGGAAGCGCUUCUAGAAGUGUGUUCGUUACAGAGGACGAACGCGUUUCUCUGUUGGGUCUUGUUCUCUGAAUACUGCAGUUGUUGGCAUGUAUUAGGCAGAAAAGACAAAGGUGUUUUUAUGUUGGGCCUUGUUUUUACCUGAGUGAGCCAGGGUUUUGUGUAAGUUUCCUUAUCUGCGUGUGUAGUCUGAUUUUUUUUAGGCUGUUUCUCUGUUCAAAGGAGUUUUACCAAGAACUCACUCUAACUGUUUAACUUUUUUCUCUCAUUUUUACCCUAAGGAGUGGAGUCCCUCAUUGUUGUUAGGGAGACUGGUGUUGUCUUUUCUGGCUAUUUCUUCUUGGAGGGUGGUGUCAGGUGGGGAAUAGUAGUUAGAGUUUUUCUUGGGGUUGGUUUAAGGGUCCUUGGAAGAAAGGUAUGUUUAUGUGUAGUGUUAUUAGUAUUAUUAUUCAGAGUUCGAUAGUUUUUAGGUGGGAAGAAAUAAUUUGGGCUAUUAGAGUAUAUGUAUUAAAAUGAAACAAGGGGGCAUAAGGAUAGUUUAAAAAUUCUGCGGUUGUUGGUAUGUCCUGAUAAUUGGUGGUUAUGCUUAUCUCUGUUAAGGUUUGGGAGUAUGAAAGCUUGGUUUUGGUUAGUUUUUUGGCCUUCUUUUCUCAAAUAAAGAAACCUCUGGGUUAUGAGUAUUCUAUUUAUUCUUAUGACCUGGUAGGAUUUGCAGGGCAAUUGUUCAGAACUAGGAUAUUAUUCCUAGCCAAAAUUCAUAUAUUUAUGUCUUUUUAUAAAAAACAUAUUUUACUGUUUUCAUAUACUUUGCAUGUGAAUUUAUUUAUAGAAGUCCCAAUUAUAUGUCACAAUGUUAAUCUUUAGUAAUCUUUAAUAUAAAACCUGGUAAGUUGUUGUAAUUAUGUAUUAGGCAUAAAGUCUGACUUUUUCUAGUAUAGUUACAGGUGUGGUUAUUUCCAUAUGUCCUCAGGUCUUAUUAAUUGUGAAGUAGGCAGUCUAACAGUUUUUAAAGGUCAAAGAAGUCAUUUUCCAUCUUAAAAUACUUAGUAAAUUUAGUAUAUGACUUGUGUAAUUUAGACCACAUGUUUAUAUCUUGAAGACAUUUGUCUUUUACCAAUACUUUUUAAGACUUUUUAUUUGUUAAAGAUUAAAGUCAUGUGAACUAAGAGGCAUUAUGGCUUUUACUUUUCCUUCAGAAUAUUUGGUGGUGUUGAUUUUUUUAGGUCAAUUAAUUAGAGUUCUUUUUUUUAUAGCUAGCACAUGCAUAACAUAUAUGUGACUAUAUAGUCAGAAGACCUAGUCGUGGUAAGAUUUUCUGUUUGUCAGUCUUUUAAUUGGAUUAUUGAUCUCAGGGUGAAAAUUUAGACAGAAAUGUUAAAUUCCCCUUUACAUUUCUAGGAAAUCAGAAAACCAGUACGUAUUUGAAUUACACUCCUGAUUACUACAACACCUGCUGAGUUUAGGCACAGGAAUAUAUCCACAGUUUGUAAACAUGCUGUCACAUUGUAUACAAAGAAGCACUGGAAGACAUGAGAGCCAUGAAAAAGGAGGAAAAUGCAGCAGGAAAUGCUGGAAGUUCUGGUGCCAACGCCCUGACAGGCGCUUGGGAACUGGAGCCAGUCCAGGGGCCUUCAGGUAACACUGAGGUGUAGCCUCCGCCAGAGACUUUCAGUUGUCUUAGGGCAUCUUUUCAGCUGCAUGUGACAGUGAGGGCUUCCACGAAAGGAAACUGGAGAACAGAGUUAACAUUCCAAAUACCUGAGGAUGAUGGGGAUUGAAAACGUCCCCUUCAGGAAGCCUGUCCCCUGAGUUGUAACGCUGGCAGCCGCCCUACUCACUGACAGGAACCCAGCGUCUCAUUUGCUCUUGAUAGAAAAAUAAAACUGAAGUGAAAGUAAAGACUUUGGAGGUCAGCUCCUGCUUACCCUUCCUGUGAACCCAUUCCCAGCCGAUGCACCAGAAAUAUUUUACCGUCUCAGCAAUGUACCAAAAACGUAGUAGUCUCUCGUUAGGUAUCAGCCAACCUUUUUUGACUUACAACCAAGAAAAUUAAGGGAUGUGGACACAAAGGGUGAGGUUAGAAGGCAAGUUUAAUAAGUGAAAGAAGAAACCUCUCUGUAGUAGACAGGGGGCCUGAAUGGGUUGUCAACUGUGAGGUUGGGUCUGGGUGUUUUUAACUGGGAAGAAAAGGAAUGUGUCGACUGGACUUGGAGAAUGUUACUCAACCUUGCCUUGGACCUAGGCCCAGGACCACUUAGAGACUGAAGGGGAAGUUUUGUCCAGGACCUUGGUCCAAGCCUGGCUGGGAGCAAUCAGAGGCUGAAGUGAUGAUUCUUAGAGGGUCAGCUCACAGUCAAAAGCAUGUCCAAAAAAGGAAAGGAAAGUGCCCACUAGAAUCCACCGUAGCCCCCAGUGUACACGUCCACAAAAGGCGAAGAGACUGUUUUCUAGAAACCUGUUGAUUCUACAAAGGACAAAGGCAUUUCUAUGCUGGGUUUUGUUCUCUUAUUAGUGUAGUUGUGGGCAUGUCUUAGGCAUAAAGGACAAAGGCGUUUUUGUGUCUUGUUCUUUUAUCCGAGAAGGCCAGAGACUUGAAUAAGUUUCCUCAUCUGUGUCGGCAGCCUUAUUUUUUCAGACCAUUUCUCUGUUUAAAGGAGUUUUACCAAGAACCUGCCCUAACUGACUAAGUUUUUUCUCUCAAUUCCACUCAUUAGAAAAUAGAAGGGAAGACUUAGGAGGUAUAACGUCCAAUAGGGACUAGAUUGUGCAUCUCACGAAAUACACUAUUCAGCCAUCCACUCAGUUGAUUGCAGGAAAAUUGAAGUGUCACUCUCUGGGCCUUGUGAGGUAAGGCCAGCUUUGGGGUUGCUUUGCAAGAAUUGCUCUAAAAAAUGACUGAACAAGUGCUUAAUCUUUGUAGAACUAUAACAUGAGACCUCAAUAGAAAACAGCUGUCAGAUGGGGCCAGUUGCUUUUCAAUUAUCCAUUUUAUCCCCUAAGUAUAAGGUAUGUCUAACAUAUGUUAUAUUACAUUUUUACAAUUGAUUCAUAUGGAAUGAGAUGUGAUUUUUUUUCCAUGCUCCAGGGUGAAGCCAAUUUCUCUAAUUUAUUUGGGAAUAGAAGUUAUGCUGGAGUUUAGUCAGCGUCCUCAGAGUACAGGUCUAUCACUGAAACUGCAUCAUCAAAAUUGGAGAAAGAGGCCAGCAGGAAACUGUCGGUGAAAAUGCUGUUGGGAAAAUGCAUUGAUUUUCUCUGAGUUGGGUAGAUCAUCAACUCUUCUUACUCCUGUCUUGUAGAUUUCCAAAAGCCAGGCUGCCGAGGCCACCAAAGUGGCUCUUGAUGUAGGCUUCUGCCAUAUUGAUUCAGCAUACUUGUACCAAAAUGAGGAGGAGGUUGGACAAGCCGUCUGAGAGAAGAUUACUGAUGGUAUCACAAAGAGAGAGGACGUAUUCUACACCACCAAGCCUUGGGCUACUUUCUUUCAGCCAGAAUACGUUCGCCCAGCCCCGGAAAGGUCACUGAAGAAACUUGGACUGCACUGUGUAGAUCUCUUCAUGAUUCACGUACCAUUCGCUAUGAAGGCUCAAAACUGGCAAGAACCUUGAAUCUGAGAUGAACUUUUGUAGUUUGGAAUUUUAAGUUGGUGCUGGACCAAGUUACAAGUUUUUGGAACUAUUGGGAUGAAAUGGUUACAUUUUGCAUGUAAGAAAGAUGUGAGGUUCAUGGGCCAAGGGUAUAAUGCUGUAAUUGGCAUAUCUGACCCUCCAAACCAUAUGCUGAAUUCUCAGUGUCACCGUUCACUGAUGAUGUGAUCCUUUGAAACCCCAAGGACUCCUUCAGAAAGCUCCUAGAACUGAUAAAAUCAUUCAGCAAAGUUUCUGUAUACAAGAUUGAUGUAAUCAGUGGCUCUUCUGUACAGCAACAGCGACCAAAUGGAGAAUCAAAUAAAUAAUUUAACCCCUUUCACAAUAGCCAAAAAAAAGAAAAAAAGAAAAAAAAGAAAUACUUAGGAAUAUAUCUCACCAGGGACUCAAAAGAACCUCUGCAAGGAAAACUACAAACACUACUGAAUGAAAUCAUAGACGACAUGAACGAAUGGAAACACAUCUCAUGCUCACGGAUGGGUAGAAUCAAUAUUGUGAAAAUGACCAUACUGCCAAAAGCAAUCUACAAAUGUAAUGCAAUCACCAUCAAAAUACCACCAUCAUUCUUCAUAGAAUUAGAAAAAAUGAUUUUAAAAUGUAUAUGGAACCAAAAAAGAGCCUGCAUAGCCAAAGCAAGACUAAGCAAAAAGAGCAAAGCUGGAGGCAUCACACUACCUGAUUUCAAACUAUACUAUAAGGCCAUAGUCACCAAAACAGCAUGGUACUGUUUUGGUACAAAAAUAGGCACAUAGACCCGUGGAACAGAACAGAAAACCCAGAAAUAAACCCAAAUGCAGCCAACUGAUCUUUGACAAAGCAAACAAAACAUAAAGUGGGGAAAAAAGACACCUUUUUCAACGAAGGUUCUGGGAUAACUGGCUAGCGACAGGUAGGAGAAUGAGACUGGGUCCUCAUCUCUCACCUUAUAAAAAAAUCAACUCACGAUAAAUUAAGGACUUAAACCUUAGACCUGAAACUACAAAAAUUCUAGAAGAUAACAUUGGAAAACCCCUUCUAGACGCUGGCUUAGGCAAGGAUUUCGUGACCAAGAGCCCAAAAGUAAAUGCAAUAAAAGCAAAGAUAAGUAUCUGGGACCUAAUUAAAGAGCUUUUGCAUGGCCAAAAAAAAAAAAAAAAAAAAAUGGCAGAGUAAACAGACAACCCAUAGAUUGGGUCAUUAUAUUGAAUAGUUUUCCAUAACUAUUCAAAAGCAUCAUAUAUAGAGUCACGAAUUUCCUGGCGUUUCAUGAAUUGUGGAGUAUGGUAAUGUGGAUAGUUUAUGCAUCUCCAAAAACAGUUCAUAUUGUAAACAGUACUUUCUAUAUUAUUGGAAAUAGAGUCUUUAGUAUAUUCAAGUUUGAUUAGGUUAGAGUGGUCGUUCCAUAAACCCCAAAAUGAAUUCAGAAAACUCAGUAUAGAUUCUGUUCCUUUAGAACCACUUCUGCUGUCAGAAUCAAUAUGGUUACAAUUCUCUGAAGAAAUACAAAUCUAAAAUGUAUAUAUGUAGAUAUAGAUAUAUAUGACUAAAUAUUUAUAUCUAAAUAUAUAUCUAAUAUAUGUUUAUAUUAGACUACAUAUUAUAUAUUUAUAUUAGAAUAUACAUUCUAGGUAUAUAAUAAUAUAUGUAGUAUAUGUGAGAUCCAUAUAUAUAUACAUGUAUAUAUGUGCGUGUGUGUCAUCUCAUAGGUGAAUCUAUGAAGUCUAUCUAUCUACAUAAACGUAGGAGCAGGAAUAUAUUUGAGGGAUUGCCUCAUUUCCAUUUUGUUUUCUGAAAAUUGCUACCACAACCUGUAGAACCAUGAAUUCCAGUGCCAUGGCCUCUUCCAACUGUGAAGGCCUGAAAUCAGGGGAGUCAUCAAAGUAUCCCCCAGUCUUAGACUAAAAGCCUGAGAAGCUGGGGGCCACUUGUCAAAGACCUAGAGUUCAAAGAUCAGAAGUCCUGGAAUUCUGAUGUCCAGGGGUAGAAAAAGAUGAGUGUCCCAGCUUCAGAAGAGAGAAAGCGAGCUCACCUUUCCUCUGCUUCUUUAUCAGAAACCUCAGCCGACAGAAGGGUUGUUUCCCACACUGAGUGAGGGAAAAUGUUUUUCAGUUGGUCCGUAGUUUCAAAUGUCAAUAUGAUCCAGAGUAAUCCUCACAGAUAUACCCAGAAAUAAUACCCGACCAGGUAUUGGCAUGCCACUUAAUCCAAUCCAGUUGAUACCUAAAAUUAACCAUUACGCUUGAUAUAUUCUUUAUAAAUUGACCCAUUCAUGAAGAUAGUAUACCUCAUUUUGUUAUGAUUCACUUUUUUUGUCCUUCAAAGAUAUUGAAUUUUUUAUAAGAAUUCAGCAUUUGUAGCAACCCUGCAUUGAGCAAGCCUGUUAGCACCAUUUGUCCAAUAGCAUGUGUUCACUCUGUGCCUUUUCCCCACAUUUCAGUAAUUUUUGCAAUAUUUCAGACUUUCACUGUAUUAUUAUAUCGGUGAUGGUAAUCUCCGAUCUGUAAUCUUGAUGUUAUAUUAUACUUGUUUUGGGAUACCCCAAACUGUACCCAUGUACAGCAGUGAAUGCAAUUGAUAAUUGUGUGCCUUCUGACUGCUUCAGUGACAGGUGGUUCCCCUAUCUCUUUCCCCCUGUUCAGGCCUUCCUAUACCCUAAGACACAACAGUAUUAAAACCAGGUCAAAUGGUAACGCUACAAUGGCCUCUAAAUGUUCAUGCGAAAGAAAGAAUAGCACAUCUUUCGCUUAAGCACAAAAGCUACACGUGAUUAAGCUUAUUGAGGAAUAUAUGUUGAAGGCUGAGGCAGGCUGAAAGCUAGAUCUAUUGUGUUAGUUAUUAGCCAAGUUGUGAAUGCAAAGGAAAAGUUCUUUAAGGAAACUGUAAUCCUACUUCAGUGAAUACAAAAUGAUUAAAACCCUAAACAGCCUUAUUGCUGAUAAGGAGAAAUUUUAACGAUAUGGAUAGAUCAACCAGCCACAACAUUCUCUUAAGCCAAAGCCCAAUCCAGAAGAAGACCUUAACUCUCCUCAAGUGUAUGCAGGCUCAUAGAGGUGAGGAUGCUGUGGAGAAAACGUUGGAAUCUGGUAGAGGUUGGUUAAUGAGGCUGAAUAAAAUAAGCCAUUUCCAUAACAUAACAGUGCAAAAUAAAGCAGCAAGUUCUGAUGGAGAAUCUGCAGCAGGUUAACCAGAAGAUUUAUGUAAGAUCAUUAAUGAAAGUGACUACAAUAAACAGUAGAUUUUAAAUGUAGAUGAAAGGGCCUUAUAUCAAAAAGGGUGCCACCUAGGACUUUUAUACCUAGAAGGAAGUCCAUGCCUCGCUUCAAAAGACAGGCUGACUCUCUUGUUAGGAGCUAAUGUGCCUGGUGAUUUCAAGAUGAAACCAAUGCUUUUUUAUGAUUUCAAAACCAUGCUCUAUAAAUAGAGUAAAAAAGCCUGUCUUACAGCAUAGCUCUUUUGUAGCAUGGUUAAUGAAUAUUUUGAGUCUACUGUUUAAAAUAGAAAGCAGUAUUGAAAUGUACUGCUCAAAAAGAAAAAGAGAUUCCUUUAAAAAAUUACUGUUCAAUGACAGUGCACCUUGUUAACAAAUAGUUCUAAUGCAGGGGUUAGAAAGAUUAUUUUUGUUUUUAUGACUGCUUCACAAUAUUUAUUCUUCAGUACAUGGAUAAAAGACCAAUUUUAACUUUCAAAUCUUGUUGUUCAUAAAUACAUUUCAAUCAGUUAUAGCUGCUACAGACAGUGAUUCUUGUGAUGAAUCAGGUAAAGUAAAUGGAAAGCCCUCUGGGAAGAAUUCAGCAUUCUGAAUGCCAUCACGAACACUUGUCAUUCAUAAGAAAAUGUCAAAAUAUCAACAUGAACGGAAGUUCAGAAACAGUUAAUUAGAACUCGCAUGGAUUAUUUUAAGGGGGCUAAGGAUUUGGUAACUGCAGAUGUGAUGAAAUUAGCAAGAGAAAGAGAGUGAGAAGUAGAGCCUAAAUAUGUGACUGAAUUGUAAUCUCAUGAUAAAACUUUAAAAACUUAAGAGUUCUUUCAUAUAAAUGCACAAAAAGUUGUUUCUUGGGUUGAAAUCUACCCUUUUCAUAACCAUUGUGGAUGGUGAACAUGCGUGAAUGUUGCUUCCAUGACAACCAAGGAUUUAUUAGGAAAAGAUAAUUGAUGAAAGAGUGGCUGGAUCACAGAGACCUGACUUCAACUUUCAAAGAAGUUCUACACCAUGUAAAAUGCUGUCAAACAACAUUGCACACUACAGAGAAGUCUGUCACGAAAGAAGUCAACCAAUGAGGCAAAUUUCAUUGUUGUAUUUUGUUUAAGAAAUUGCCACAGCCAUUUCAGGACUCAGCAACCAUAACCCUGAUCAGUCAGCAGCAAUCUAUAGUGAGGGAAUACUCUCUAGCAGCAAAAAGAUUACAUCCUGCUGAAGGUUCAGAUAAUUGUUAGUAUUUUACAACAAAAAAUGUUUAAAUUAAGGUAUGUGCAUUGUUUCCUUAGACAUACUAUUGCUCAACUAAAUAUAUUAAAGAAUGGUGCAAACAUAAUUUUUUUUUUUUUUGAGACGGAGUUUCGCUCUUGUUACCCAGGCUGGAGUGCAAUGGCAUGAUCUCGGCUCACCGCAACCUCUGCCUCCUGGGUUCAGGCAAUUCUCCUGCCUCAGCCUCCUGAGUAGCUGGGAUUACAGGCACGCGCCACCGUGCCCAGCUAAUUUUUUUGUAAUUUUUAGUAGAGACGGGGUUUCACCAUGUUGACCAGGAUGGUCUCGAUCUGUUGACCUUGUGAUUCACCCGCCUCGGCCUCCCAAAGUGCUGGGAUUACAGGCUUGAGUCACCACACCCGGCCCAUAAUUUUUAUGUAUAGUUGAAAUAAAAAAAUUUAUGUGAUUCAUUUUAUUAUGGUAUUUGCUUUAUGUUGGUGGUCUGGAACCUCACCUUUAAUUUAUAUAAAAUGCGCCUAUGUUUUAUCUCGGUCAGACUUUUUGACUACAUUUGGUGUGUUUCUGACUUUAGUAUAGCUGUCACAAAUCUUCUUUGGUUACUGUUUUCAUAAAAUACCUAUUUCUGCCUUUCAUGUUCACGCUAUGUUCUCAGCUGAAGUGAGUUUCUAGUUCAGAACAUAUCGUUGCAUCUUGGAUUUCUAAAAACCCAUUCUGCAAAUCUUCUUUUUGACGUGAAAAUAUAAGCCAUUUCAUUUAAUGUACAGUUAUGAAACACGUAACAACACACAUCAAGAUAUCAUUUUACACCAGUAAGAAUGGCUAUUCCUAAAAUGUGAAAAAACCCAACAGAUAUUGGUGUGGAUUCCUCAGAGGUGUUAAUUAUGGCUCAUUCAAACUGGAGUACAGUGGUGUAAUCUCAGCUCACUGUAGCCUCUGUCUCUUGGGUUCAAAUGAUUCUCCUGCCUCAGCCUCCUGAGUAGCUGGGAUUACAGGCAUGUACCGCCAUGCAUGGCGAAUUUUUGUAUUUUUGGUAGAGACAGAGUUUUGUCACAUUGGCCAGGCUGGUCUUGAACUCUUGGUCUCAAGUGAUCCGCUCACCUCAGCCUUCCCAAGUGCUGGAGGUAUAGGUCUGGGCCAAUGAUUAUGUUCAAAUCUUCCCUCCAAAGGGAGACACAAGUAAAAAUUAUGGGAUGUGAGGAUUAUUCACCAAUUUAUUGUAAUUAGUUUCUACUUUUAUGAAUAAUAUUUAACAGAAUUACAAAUUAUAUUAAAAGAGUUACCAAUUUUUUUGGGAAGUUACUUUUGAUGGUUUCUUAUAAAACAGGAUGAAAGAUACAAAUACUGUAAGGCACUGUUUGUUUGCAUAUUGCAAAUAAUGUCCAAAGACCAAACAUUGUUAAUAAUUAAUAUUCCAAUAAACAUUAUGUCAGGAUUUCUGUGUUUUCUUUUACC